AACAGGAUUAGAUACCCUGGUAGUCCACGCCGUAAACGAUGUCGACUUGGAGGUUGUGCCCUUGAGGCGUGGCUUCCGGAGCUAACGCGUUAAGUCGACCGCCUGGGGAGUACGGCCGCAAGGUUAAAACUCAAAUGAAUUGACGGGGGCCCGCACAAGCGGUGGAGCAUGUGGUUUAAUUCGAUGCAACGCGAAGAACCUUACCUACUCUUGACAUCCAGAGGACUUAGCAGAGAUGCUUUGGUGCCUUCGGGAACUCUGAGACAGGUGCUGCAUGGCUGUCGUCAGCUCGUGUUGUGAAAUGUUGGGUUAAGUCCCGCAACGAGCGCAACCCUUAUCCUUUGUUGCCAGCGGUUCGGCCGGGAACUCAAAGGAGACUGCCAGUGAUAAACUGGAGGAAGGUGGGGAUGACGUCAAGUCAUCAUGGCCCUUACGAGUAGGGCUACACACGUGCUACAAUGGCAUAUACAAAGAGAAGCGACCUCGCGAGAGCAAGCGGACCUCAUAAAGUAUGUCGUAGUCCGGAUUGGAGUCUGCAACUCGACUCCAUGAAGUCGGAAUCGCUAGUAAUCGUGGAUCAGAAUGCCACGGUGAAUACGUUCCCGGGCCUUGUACACACCGCCCGUCACACCAUGGGAGUGGGUUGCAAAAGAAGUAGGUAGCUUAACCUUCGGGAGGGCGCUUACCACUUUGUGAUUCAUGACUGGGGUGAAGUCGUAACAAGGUAACC
rnacentral:rRNA from 1 species